rnacentral:lncRNA from 1 species
AAGAGAUUGGCUAAAAAAAAGAAAGAAAGAAAGAAAGAAAGAAAGAAGAAGAGAAGAAGUCUUCUUCGUCGUAUAGCCAUAAGCAACACAUAAGAUUAAAGUUGUGUAAUUUGAAUUUGAUAUUAUGUUGGGAGAAGAUUGGAGGUAAAUUUUAAUUCUUGGUUUUUGUUAAUUUAUUAUGAAGAAGUAUGAUUAGAUAAUUGUAGUAGAAGUAGAAACUUAAAAUUUUACAGAAAAUAUGUUGACAAUGAGUUAUUUCGAAAAUCAUAGUAAUUUGUACAUAUUGAUUUUGAUUCUUGAUUUUGGAUAUAUUAAAUCAGACAUCUUCAAGAAUGUUUUGAAGUUUGUUUCGACCAAUCAUAUAAGAAUUCAAUUUAUUACGAUUUUUUUAACUCAAGUCCAAAAACUUGAGAAUUUCUAAUUUCAGUGAAGAACAUGAAUUACGAAACUAUUUUACCGUAGCUAUAUUUAUUAAAAAAUGAUGAAAUUUGGACUAGUGAUUUUUAUGUAUGUCUAGAGUGAUUUAGGAAAAUUUCAUCAUUUUAUGAUAAAACAAUAAAUUGUUUUGUAUUUUUAAAAGAAAUAUGUUCAAAACAGAAAACUAUUUGACAUAAUUGAUAAUGUUUGAAAUGUAAUUAUUGCAAAAGUUUUUGAAGGAAUUAAGCUAUGAAGGUUUAAGCAUUGAAUUUCUAUUAUGUCAGCAUAUGCCUUGUAAAAUUUGAUGAUAUUAGAGUUUAUGAUUAUAAUUUGAUUAUAUGUGAUCAGAGUUUUGUUAAUGAUUUUUAGGUCGAUUAUAUCAAUAUGCAUUUUUUAUAUGUGGAUGCCAAGACAUAAGUAAACUAAACUUCUAAAUGAAUCAUAAUAAACAAUAUGUACAUAUUUGAAAAUUUUUAAAAAUCUAUAUUUGAUAUGUACGGAUAUGAAUUUAUAUGAUUUUGCCUAUUUAUUUACGUGAUGUGUUGUUAUGUGUUUAGCGAAAUUAUGCGGACAGCAUAAAGUAUAUGCGAGAGUUCAUUGGCACAAGAAUGAAUAUGCAUUAAGUUUUGUAUGAAAUGAGAAAGUGGACAAUAUCUUUCUUGAUUAGACUUUCAAUAUCCUUAGGGAUCAUGUAAAUAGGUGAUGUCCCUUUUCUGAAUCCAUGUAUAUUUAGCUUUCUUCUAUUGAUUUGUUAGAUUAAAGCUGAGUGAAGAUAGAGUGGGCUUACAGGACUGAGGAGGUUUUUGGGAUGAUGAAGUUGGCAUGGAAGGAGAUUGAGAUAAGCCACAUAAAGAUGCAGUUGACUUAGAUGAUGAUCAAGGUUGAUCAGAAGUCGAUGAAGAUGCUACAGGU